rnacentral:lncRNA from 10 species
AUAAUACAUAUCAUAUAUAUCAUAUAUGAUACAUAUAUAUCUCAUAUAUAAUACAUAUAUAUCAUAUAUAAUACAUAUCAUAUAUAAUACAUAUCAUAUAUAAUACAUAUCAUAUAUAUCAUAUAUAAUACAUAUCAUAUAUAUCAUAUAUAAUACAUAUCAUAUAUAUCAUAUAUAAUACAUAUGUAUCAUAUAUAUAAUACAUAUCAUAUAUAUCAUUCAUAUAUAUAUAUACACACACACACAUACACACACACACACACACACACACACACACCCCCUUGGAACAUACCUACCACCUAUUUUGCUAAGCACUCAAUAAAUGUAAGUCUGUGGUCCACACUUCCCACAAAUUGACUAGGGUUCUAUUCUACUCAGUCCAACAAAUAUCUACUGACUUAAAAGAAUAAAAAUAUGAGUAUACACAGCCUUCGUCUUUGAGAAACUUAAAAAUUCAUGUAAGUUUCUCAUCAAUGGUAAGAAAACAAAUCACCACAAUUCAAAGUACAUUAAGUGAUUUCCUGAGACACACAAAAAUCAGGAUGGCACUUGCACGCAGAUUGUUUUACAUAACAGAUGAUAACCAGUUCAUUGUUUUUUUUAAAUGUGUUGGAUUAAUAUUGAAAUGCUACCUUCUGGAGUUAUAACAACAAAAAUAACAAACAAGAAUGGUGAAUUUAAUUUAUGAAUAGAAGUAGCAGCUUUAAGAAUAAGUACAAGAACAAUGUAAAGAGCAUCUCACAAGUAUUUUACCUCAAAUUAUAGAAAACAAAAAUUAUAUUGGGCUUAAAGUAUGCCUUGCCAAAGGACAAAAGCAGCAAGUUCACCAAUACAGAAAUACCAGUGACUCAUUAGUAAAAACAAAUUUCAAACUUCUGAGUGGGGAUUGUGGCCUCAGACAGACUCAAGAUAGAGUCUGUCUUAUUAGCUAUGAAACCUCUGAGCCUCAACUUCAUCCUGUCUGUUAGAUGGGAUGCUUGCAGUUCCAAUAAACAGAAAUGCCAACUCAAAAAAUCAAUUAAGCAGUAAGAUACAUUACAUCACACUCAGUGAUGUCUAAAAAAAAAAAGAAAGAAACAGCCUCCUCUUGGGAUUCUUAAGAUCACCCAGCGAACUUUCCUUUGUGUCUUGUUGUCCAGAACUUAGUAACCAAUACAUGGCUGAACUAAUCAGGAAUGGAGUUCCUCUUAGAUCUCUUGGGCCCAUCCCUGAAGUUAGAGGUGGGGACAGCUUCCCCUGAGACACAGAUUGCAAAGAAGAGAGGUGGAUUCCGGAAAAAACUGCAGUUCUUUUAGAAAGUUGGAGAGAAAAAUGGAGACCUUAUAGAUGACCAGCAGUAUCUACUAAGAAUACUAACCUCGUGGGCUUGAUACAAACAGGCUGACUCUUGCUCAUCCAUCGAGUCUCAACUUUCAUGAAGUGGCUUCAAGCCAGCCUUUUCUGCUCACCUGUUACGCUUCUCCUUCUAAGCACAUGGUAGCAUUGCUCUUCCUGGGCCCCUUGGGAUCAGGUGCAGCCAUGGAACUAGCACUUUCCAACUGGUUGUGAACAGAAGUGAUGUGUAUCACCUCCUCACUGGAACAUCAAGUUACAAGACCCCCUUUCUUGUUCUCAUAACAACCAUGGAUGCUUUCAAUGAUGGCAGCUACUGCACCCUGAGCCACUAAAAGACUAGGAAGAAAAGAGGCCCCUGCUGGUGGAUCAUGAGUGUGCAACAUGAAACUAUUUUCAACUUUCAGUUUUCAGGGUCAUUGCAUAACCUGGCCCAGUGCAUCACAAAUUUUAGGUGCAAAGGAAUCACCUAGAGAGCUCCUUUCCCAAAGAGAUUGAUUCAGUAAGUCUUGCAUCUUUAGAUCAAAUUUCUUGUAGAUGUUUGGAAAUUUGGAUUUCUAAAAACCUCCUAGGUGAUUCUGAUGCUCUCAGACCACACUUUGAGUAGCACUGACCCUGCCAGUCCUGCCUGAUACAUUCUCUCAUCUAAAGUACUACCUCUCUGUUGCUAGUCAGGCUCCAUCUUAUCACCAUUCCACUUGUUCUAUAUUGCUUACACAACUACCAUUAUGUAUUUACAAAUUGUCUAUCUCUCCCAUUAUGACAUAAACUCCAUGAAGACUGAGACUUUGUCUUUUUGUUCACUGUCAUAACUCCAAAAUGCUGAACAGCAUCUAGAACACGUUGGUGCAAAAAUAAUUGCAGUUUUUGUCAUUACUUUUUUUUUUUUUUUUUUGAGACAGAGCCUCGCUCUAUUUCCCAGGCUGGAGUGCAGUGCCACCAUCUCAGCUCACUGAAACCUUCGCCUCCCAUGUUAAAGUGAUUCUCUUGCCUCAGCCUCCCAAGUAGCUGGGAUUACAGGCACCUGCCACCAUGCCCAGCUAAUUUUUUUGUACUUUUAGUAGAGACAGGGUUUCAUCAUGUUGGCCAGGCUGGUCUCAAACUCCUGACCUCUGGUGAUACACCUGCCUUGGCCUCCCAAAGUGCUGGCGUCACAGGCAUGAGCCACCAUGCCCGGCAGGUUUUUGUUAUUAAUUUUAUUUCCAAAACCACAACUACUUUUGCACAAACCUAAUAUAAACUAAAUAAAGGAAUGGAUGAGUCAUCAAAAAUUAUGUUUUAAAUAUCAACUAUUCAUUCUAAUGUCUGUUCAGGCCCUAAUCUCUCAAGUACCUUCUUUUGAUAAUGAGACGCUAAAACAAAAAAACACAUGAGCAGCUCUAGCUAAAUGAAGCCUCAAUUCCAUCCAUCAACCCCCUUUAUGGGUUCAGAGUCAUUUGAAGGGGCCAUCAGUAGAGGUUGCUGAGAUCGUGUAUGUAAAAUGACUCUCUUCUCUGCCUUGACUCCAAAACCAUGAGGACAAGUGAAGCUACAGAAGCCAGGACUGCAGAACAGAGUUGGAUUUUUCUUUGCAUGUGUUUCUUCCUCAGAUCUCCAUGGAGGGGUCAAGCCUUUGAGGACACAAUGCCCAGACUCAGCAUGAGAGUGCUUAUCCCUAUUGGGUGCUGGAAAAGAUAGCAGAGGAAAAGCCAGCAUUAAGAAGCACAGCCAGCACACGGUCAAGCCAUCAUUCAUGACCACUGCUGGGUCUACCUAUUUCACAAACAGGAUUUCUGCUGACACCGGAAAAAUCCAUAGCAUGCUCACGGAUCUUCCUGUAGUCUCUCAAUCAUUUCUCAGAAUUAAUGGGGAAAAACCUUUUGAAUGUUUGCUAUAUAUAGGAACCAUGUGGAAAAAUUGGAAAUCAUCUAGAGAUAUUUAAAAGGAGACUCAGAUUUACAUACAAUGAUAUGUUUGAAGUUUGCUUUGAAAUACUAUAUUCUCCCUUACCCUCUUCCCCCACCAGAAAACCUGUGGAGUAACAAAAAUGGAAUAAAUACGAUUUGCCAUGAUGUAAUAAUCACCUGAUGAGUUCUUCCUGCCCAC